rnacentral:lncRNA from 1 species
GGGUGCGUGGACCGAACCACCACGGUGUUGUUUGCGGUUUUAAUCCCUCCCGUGGGAUCAGGAGGAACUGAAGCUGGCAGAGUCCCAGGAAUAUGCCUGCUCCCCGAAGUAGGAGGGAAUGUCAAGGGCACGAAUUCGUUCAAGCCUCUGCCCUGCCUCUGAGCACAGCACACUGUGAUGGUCUAUACCUCUGUCCUCCUCACUGGGCUGUGACCACAUCCGUGAGGUCUCUGGCGUCCCAGCUCCCAGCAUGUGGUAGGCGUCAUCGUAAAGCCUUGAAUGAAUCUGCUGCUGUGUGAUUUCGAGUCAUCAAAUGCCAGAACAAGAAGGACCCUCAAGGACUCCUGUCUGACUCUCCCAUUUUACAAGAUCACCCUCAGAGAGACUGGGCUGCUUCCCAUGUUACAGAAGAGGAAAUUGAGGCCCGGAGACCUGAAGCACCUUCCUUGGGAGUUCCAGAGCGAGCGAGAGCAAGAGCCAAGAAUGGGACGCAGGCCCGCCCCUCGAGCUCUGGGCCCUUCGCUCUGUCCCUGCCUGGAGCUACCCAGGUUCCAGGCGCAGGACUCAGGCUUUCUCAUUCCAUGACUUCGAGGGGCCAUGGCGUUUGCGUGCGGGGGACCCUGUGGCCGGCUCGUCUCAGGUCUCCCUUCCAGUCACGCUGGGGCCCUACCCCCACUCCCACCAAGGUCCACAAUUCCCUCAGUCGACCGAUCUCAGGCUGAGGUUUUGUGGCCAGAGAGACAGACAUGGGUUCAAAUCUCCACUCCUUCAUUUACCGGCUGUGUGACCUUGGGAAAACGCCUCGACCUCCCUGAGUCCCAGGUCUCUCAUCUGCAAAAUGGAGACGACAGUACCUACUUGGCCGGGCUCCAGCUAACAGAGAAUGGCACCUGUCACUAGUAGACAAAACACAGAGGGUCAGAAUCGCCAGAAGGCCCCUGGGAAACGCGGUGGGGAGGGGGUUUCUUCCAGCCCUCAGUCUACUGGGGUGUGACGGUUCUCAGA